rnacentral:rRNA from 1 species
CCUACGGGAGGCAGCAGUGGGGAAUAUUGCACAAUGGGGGCAACCCUGAUGCAGCGACGCAGCGUGAGUGAAGAAGUAUCUCGGUAUGUAAAGCUCUAUCAGCAGGGAAGAAAAUGACGGUACCUGACUAUGAAUCCACGGCUAACUACGUUCCAGCAGCCGCGGUAAUACGGAGGGAGCGAGCGUUAUCCGGAUUUACUGGGUGUAAAGGGAGCGUAGACGGCGCUGCAAGUCCGUAGUGAAAGCUUAUGGCUUAACCAGUGUACUGCUAUGGAAACUGUGGAGCUUGAGUGCAGGUGGGGUAGGCGGAAGUCCUGGUGUAGCGGUGAAAUGCGUAGAUAUUAGGAGGAACACCGACGGCGAAGGCGGCCUGCUGGACCGCCACUGACAUUGAUGCUCGAAAGCGUGGGUAGCAAACAGGAUUAGAUACCCGAGUAGUC